AGAGUUUGAUCAUGGCUCAGGACGAACGCUGGCGGCGUGCUUAACACAUGCAAGUCGAACGGUGAACCUGCUUCGGUGGGGGAUCAGUGGCGAACGGGUGAGUAACACGUGGGCAACCUGCCCUCAGCUCUGGGAUAACUCCAAGAAAUUGGGGCUAAUACCGGAUACGUCCGUAAGGAGAAAGAUUGAUCGCUGAAGGAUCGGCCCGCGUCGGAUUAGCUGGUUGGUGGGGUAACGGCCCACCAAGGCAACGAUCCGUAGCUGGUCUGAGAGGAUGAUCAGCCACACUGGGACUGAGACACGGCCCAGACUCCUACGGGAGGCAGCAGUGGGGAAUAUUGGUCAAUGGGCGCAAGCCUGAACCAGCCAUGCCGCGUGAGUGAAGAAGGCCUUAGGGUUGUAAAGCUCUUUCAGCGGGGACGAUAAUGACGGUACCCGCAGAAGAAGCCCCGGCUAACUUCGUGCCAGCAGCCGCGGUAAUACGAAGGGGGCUAGCGUUGUUCGGAUUUACUGGGCGUAAAGCGCGCGUAGGCGGGCAUUUAAGUCAGGGGUGAAAUCCCAGGGCUCAACCCUGGAACUGCCUUUGAUACUGGAUGCCUGGAGUUCGGGAGAGGUGAGUGGAAUUCCGAGUGUAGAGGUGAAAUUCGUAGAUAUUCGGAGGAACACCAGAAGCGAAGGCGGCUCACUGGCCCGAUACUGACGCUGAGGCGCGAAAGCGUGGGGAGCAAACAGGAUUAGAUACCCUAGUAGUCC
rnacentral:rRNA from 1 species